rnacentral:rRNA from 1 species
UACGUAGGUGGCAAGCGUUUGUCCGGAUUUACUGGGCGUAAAGAGCGCGCAGGCGGUUGGAUAAGUCGAAUGUGAAAGCCCCCGGCUCAACUGGGGAGGGUCAUUCGAUACUGUCCGACUCGAAGGCAGGAGAGGGAAGCGGAAUUCCCGGUGUAGUGGUGAAAUGCGUAGAUAUCUGGAGGAACACCGGUGGCGAAGGCGGCAUCCUGGACCGGCAUUGACGCUGAGGCGCGAAAGCUAGGGGAGCAAACGGG